ACCCAGCUAAGGUCAGUCGGUAGAGCAUGAGACUCUUAAUCUCAGGGUCAUGGGUUCAGGCCCCAUAUUGGGUG
rnacentral:tRNA from 1 species